rnacentral:rRNA from 1 species
GACGGGGGGUGCGAGCGUUGUCCGGAAUUAUUGGGCGUAAAGAGCUCGUAGGCGGUUUGUCGCGUCGACUGUGAAAACCUACAGCUUAACUGUGGGCUUGCAGUCGAUACGGGCAGACUUGAGUUCGGUAGGGGAGACUGGAAUUCCUGGUGUAGCGGUGAAAUGCGCAGAUAUCAGGAGGAACACCGGUGGCGAAGGCGGGUCUCUGGGCCGAUACUGACGCUGAGGAGCGAAAGCGUGGGGAGCGAACAGG